CACGUAGGGUGCAAGCGUUGUCCGGAUUCAUUGGGCGUAAAGGGCUAGUAGGCGGCUUAGCAAGUCGGGUGUGAAAUUUCCAGGCUUAACCUGGAACCGCCAUCCGAUACUGCUAUGGCUAGAGUCCGGUAGGGGACCACGGAAUACCUGGUGUAGCGGUGAAAUGCGCAGAUAUCAGGAGGAACACCGAUGGCGAAGGCAGGUCUCUGGGCCAUAACUGACGCUGAGAAGCGAAAGCAUGGGGAGCGAACAGG
rnacentral:rRNA from 1 species